CCUACGGGAGGCAGCAGUGGGGAAUAUUGCGCAAUGGGCGAAAGCCUGACGCAGCGACGCCGCGUGAGGGAUGAAGGUCUUCGGAUCGUAAACCUCUGUCAGCAGGGAAGCACGGUCACUGUGCUAAUCAGCAGUGAAUUGACGUUACCUGCAAAGGAAGCACCGGCUAACUCCGUGCGAGAAGCAGAGGUAAUACGGAGGGUGCGAGCGUUUAUCGGAUUUACUGGGCGUAAAGGGGGCGUAGGCGGUAUGUCAAGUCAAGGGUGAAAUCCCCGGGCUCAACGCGGGGACCGCCUUUGAAACUGGCAGACUCGAGUGGGAGAGAGGAAAGCGGAAUUCCAGGUGUAGGGGUGAAAUGCGUAGAUAUCGGGAAGAACAUCGGUGGCGAAGGCGACAAGCUGGCACCUAACUGACGCUGAGGAGCGAAAGCGUGGGUAGCAAACAGGAUUAGAUACCCCAGUAGUC
rnacentral:rRNA from 1 species